UGACCAUGAGUUUAACGGCCGCGGUACUUUGACCGUGCGAAGGUAGCGCAAUCACUUGUCUUUUAAAUGGAGACCUGUAUGAAUGGCAUGACGAGGGCUUAACUGUCUCCUUUUUUUAGUCAAUGAAAUUGAUCUCCCCGUGCAGAAGCGGGAAUAACACCAUAAGACGAGAAGACCCUGUGGAGCUUUAGACACUAAGACAGACCAUGUUAAACACCCCUCCUAAGGGAUUAAACUCAUUGGACACCUGCUCUAAUGUCUUUGGUUGGGGCGACCUCGGAGAAACAAAAAACCUCCAUGUGGAAUAGGAGUACUACACUCCCAAAACCAAGAGCCACAGCUCAAAUUAACAGAAUUUCUGACCAACCUUCUUUAAACAGAUCCGGCCACUACGCCGAUCAACGGACCGAGUUACCCCAGGGAUAACAGCGCAAUCCUCUUUUAGAGCUCAUAUCGACAAGAGGGUUUACGACCUCGAU
rnacentral:rRNA from 1 species